UAGAUACUUCCUCCUUCCGGAAAUACUUGUCAGAGAAAUGGAUGUAUCUAGACGUAUUUUAGUUCUAUAUACAUCUAUUUUUAUUUAUUUCUUCGACAAGUAUUUUCGGACGGAGGGAGUAUUUC
rfam:Triticum aestivum genome assembly, contig: Triticum_aestivum_CS42_TGACv1_scaffold_577605_7BL